ensembl:lncRNA
CAGGCAUGGCAACAGGGGAUCCAGGCCACAUCUGUGACCUACACCGCAGCUCGUGGCAACGCUGGAUCCCCAACCCACUGAGCAAGGCCAGGGAUCAAACCCUCGUCCUCAUGGAUACUGGUCGGUUUCCUUAACCGCUGGGCCACGCGGGGGAACUGCCUGCCGUUCCUCCUUAGCUGUGUUGAGUACCUGCUCAACCUAGGGACUGUCCCUGCGGUCACAACAGAGCCAGACACACCCCAUAUUGUUGGGUUUUACUUGUGCUUGAACCUUAUAAAAAGGAUAUUAUGUCACGUGAAGUCUUUUGGAAGCUGGUUUGGACCCAGUUAACUCAUCCGUGGCACAGGUAGGUGUCAUUUUUGCCACCGUGUCCUAUUGAAACUGACAGUACUAGCAGCCUGAACUGAGCCCAAACCCACACUGGGACUUGAACCCACAGUUUUAAAUUAGAAUCAUUCCCUCUGUGUCUGGACUCAACCGAGGUUCAGGUUCUUUAUGUCGCCGUGCAGAAGGAAUUCAGCGAGAGACUAAGUGAUAGGCAAGAAAUACAUGUAUUUGGAUAGGACGCUUGUGAGAGAUGCCAGCGGGCAGGCACAGAAGCUCUGCCCCAAGGAAGAUCCGGUGGGCUACCGUUUUAUCAUCCAGGGGGCGUGGGCGUGGGAAAAGCCCGCCUCUUCCUUUCUGGGAGUAGUGGCUCCGCCUUGGUAUCCAGAAAGGUGUGUGUGCAGACCAGCAGAAGGGCGGUCCUCAAACUCCUGCCCUUGGUCUGAACCUGGAUGCAGGCCUCGUCCCAUCCCCACCCGGCGACCUGAGGCAGUGCUCGCACUUCCACUAGUCUGGCAAGCCUGCCUUGUGCUGAUGGCUCUUUUGAGCAACCUGUCCACUUACAGCGGACUCCCAGGUCCCCCAGGUUUCCCCCUCUAGCUGGGAUCCGUCACUGGGACGUCUCCAACUGCUGUGCCUACUCCAUCCCUGUCACUGUCAGGUGACUCCCUGAGCCUCGCUUCUGUCGCUGCUUCUGUUUCGUGCCUGUUCCCAAAAGGAGGAGCACGCCCCUGACGCGCGCGGGUCAGAGGCUGUGCGUCCGGAGGUGCUCUGGCCGCACGACAGCUCGGACGUGGCCUGGGAACGCCAAUCCUCCCUUCCCAUUUCCGGUUUUUUUUUUUUUUUUUUGGUCCUGGAAAAUGUUGAGCUGAUAUUAUACUCUUUUUCCUUUGCAAGUACUGAGCGGCAGGCACUGCUGCCCUGGCUGGAGGUGAGCAGCGAACACACGUGGGAACCGUAGUGCACUCUCUGGUGGAGGUGACAGGUGGCCUGGGUGGCAGGCAGUGAUGGAAGGGUGCUGAUGAAGGGUGGAGUGGCUGCUGGACACGGGUCCCACGCAUCCAGACCACACCCCCCAAACAAGCCCGUUUGUGGGGGCGGUGACGCCAUCCCCCAGGUUUUCUUGGUCUUGUUUUGCAAUCAGUAGCUCAGGGCAGGAACCUCACACCGUCUCCAUCUCCCUGCUGCAGGUGUCUGCUGUCUGGCUUUUCCAUCAGAAAAAGUCCUGGGGGAGAGGUCCCAUCGUGGCUCAGCAGUUAACGAAUCUGGCUAGCAUCCAUGAGGACACAGGUUCCGUCCCUGGCCUUGCUCAGUGGGUUAGGGAGCUGGCAUUGCCGUGAGCUGCGGCGUAGGUCGCAGACGCGGCUCGGAUGCUGCGUAGCUGUGGCUCUGGUGGAGGCCGACAGCUGUAGCUCUGAUUAGACCCCUGGCCUGGGAAUCUCCAUAUGCUGUGGGUGUGGCCCUAGAAAACAAACAAAAGCAAAAAAGUCCUGGGGCCAGGAGAGUGCUCUGUCACCCCCAGGCCGGGUGAGGGUUCUCUGCAGGGAAGGGUCCCAGCCCUUGGCGUAGGUGCUCAGCAGGAACUCCUGCUGUAGCAGAGGGAUCACCCGGCCUGAGAGGGUGGAGGGGGUGCUGCAGGGUCACCAGGUUUUAGCUGUGGCCACGAGGGGACCCCGACCCUGAGUGAUGGAUGAGGGCUUCCCGCCUUGGCCUGAAAGCCAGGCUGAUGAAGGGACGGACAAGCCUGCCUCUGAGAGUGUUGUUUUUGUUUCCACUUUCAAAGGUUGUGUCUGUGGCCCUGUGUGUUCUGGGCGAGGACCGUCCCUUCUUGGCCACCCUGGCGCUCAGAGUAGGUGUGGGGGAGGGGCGGUGAGCCAGGGUGGAGGGUGACUCAUCUCUGCCCGGAUGGCCACUCCCACACCGUCCCCUGGCAGCAGGGUGAGACCCUGCCCUUCCCCACCUGUCCCGCACAAGGCCACAGGGGCGCCCGGGGUGCUCCCUUGCCCAGGGAGAAUUCUCGAAUUUUCCCCUGGUUUUGUGCUUCUGCCCCUGUUCCUAUUUCACUCUGCAUCGCCCGGCCACUACUUCCCUUCAGCCCCGCCUGUGAGCCCUGGGCCCACUGGGGGCAGGCCCCUGUUUGCCCCCGGGGUCUGCGAGGGGAAAGGCACCAGCACUGGUGACAGGUCCACCGUGCUCAGGCAGGCACAGGCUGGCCAGGUGUGACCAGGGCCGGGGCCAUAGCAGCAGGGGCCGCUUCUGCCCGGCCUGCGCCAGUGGCCAUCACUGGUUCUGGAUGCGUGCGAUCCCGUGUUCCACGUGUGCCCCGAGGGCCAUCACGCUUGUCCCCUCCCCUGCCCAGCCAGUUGUGAGGUCCUAGUGUGUGUGUGAGAACAUCGGAUACAUAAAAGAAGGGGAAGACAGGUUUUUAAAGUUGUUGGGGGGUGGGCAGGGGCCCCUCUGCCAGUGAGUGACAACGGCCCCCACAAGCUCUGGGUGGCUUCUUGUCCCACCACUUGGUGUCAUGCUGGAGAGUUGUUGAUGGCACAGCCCACCUGCGUCCCAGGCUGGGGACGGAGCCUGGGUCGACUGCACCCCCCACCCCACCCCCGCGCUGCCACCGGGGUCUUACUAUCAAGGCAGGUCCUGGGACUAACUGAGGGGUGGGCCCCCCAGCCUGCCCUCCCAGCUUCCCCCCACCUUGGAAGCUGGGCAUGUGGGUCGUGGCUUCCAGCCUUUCCAUCCCGACUCUGUGGGUUGGGGGUCAGCCCACGGGCCCCGGGCCUCAGCGUCCCACGCCAGGGCCACUGCUACUGCAUGUCCCUGCGGACUGGGCCUGAGCCACCCCCCAGCAUGUGCUCCUCGGCUUGGACAGGGAGAGCUGGCCCAGGUCCCAGCCCCCCAGCAGCAGCGGGAGGACAGGAGCCCUUGGCCUCUGAGCCGGUAGCCCGUCCUCAGCCUGUGGGCGGGGAGGGGGUCUCAGGGCGGCUGGACGUCCUGUCUGUGUCUCUCCCGGCUCCCCCUGCCCCUGGCCCUGCUCCUGCCCCCCGCUCAGGGCUCUGGGCUCCAGGCUGCAGGCUUGGGGUUUGCAGGCUGGGCUUGGCUCCUCCUCGGGGUCUUGGCGGAGAAAGUGCCGAGCAGCAGCUCCCUCCACAAAGCCGCACUGUUCUCAGCAAAUCCUCCCAGGAGCGGGAUGCAUUUUUUUCAAAUGAUUCAGCAGCACGUGAAUGGGAAGGGCCCGAGCCCAUGGCUUCGGAAGACCGUGACCAAGGCCUCUGGCAUGAGAUCCCGCUGGGCCUGCGGGGAGAAGGGAGGGAGGGUGGCUGGGUGUGGGGCAGGGGUCCUGGGGGCUCGGGAGGCAGCGUGGGAGCCGGACAGCUGCAGCCCCUCUCUGCGCUGCCAGGCGGCUUAGAGACAGCGCCCUCCUGCUCCCGGGGGAGCCCAAGCAAACCGAAGCAAACGGCCGGGAAAUGGAGAUGGGAGAGCCGGUCUCCAUGGAGACGGGGCAUCCAGUGGACAGCAGCUCACGUGUAUGUGCUAGAAUCUUGCACAGCGCUGGGCGGGCCUGGCAGAUCCCCAGGUACCGGGCUCGUGGGCAGCGUGGCCCAGGGCGGGAGCUGCGCUGCUGUUUCCUGUCGUCUGCCCUGCGCCCGUCACCCUCCCCCCACCACCCCCAGCUCCCUAAAAAACACUUCUGCUCUGAGCAGUUGUCAUUCCAGGCAUUUUUGAGCCUGGCCUGAGUUGCAGUGGCCAAGUCUUGCCCUCACUCUGGACAGCACAGCCCUGCUCUGGACAUCUGUUGGCUCCUGGGGUUGGGGAGGUUUGGGGGACCUGGGGGGUGGGUCUGCUCUCUCCCAGCUGCUGAGGGACGGAAGAAGCCCUCGGUUCGCUGCGGCAUCACGGGGCUGUUUUUAAUUACUUCAUUUCCCUGAAAGCGGAGAGCUUGGAGGUCUGCUCCGCCCCUGACCGAAAGGGGCCUGGCCUUGAGGCUGGGGACAGCAGAGCGGGGAGCCUGGGGACUACCCCCGAGGGUGUCCACCAAGGGGCAGCCGGGAAGGGGAGGGCUGGGUGGACAGUGAGGCCAGAGGGCCAGGUGGGGCUGGAUGCUCCCUCGGCCUCCCGGGCACCAGGCCAGCGCUGACGCCAUGCAUUCCUUGUGACAUCUCCCAGGCUGCUCAGCCAAACCCAUUCCCACGUGCAGUUCGGCAGGGAGGGGCGUGGCCCGGAAACCUGGGGCAACAGUGUGGUCUGCAGGCCGUGUGAGCACGGCCCACCCCCCUUUUUGGCUGCAAUGCAGCGACUUGAUGUGAAAUCUCAGUUCCCAGACCAGGGAUUGAACCCGGGCCCCAGUGGUGAAAGCACUGAGUCCUAACCACUAGACUACCAGGGAGCUCCCACAACCCGUUUCCAAAUCACCGCUCAUGCACCCCCUGCCCCUCUAGCUGGUGAGGUCUCGCGCUCACCCCCAAAGAAGCAGACGCAGCCCCAUUGCAAAAGUCGUGUCUUGACUGUGCUCCUCGCAGCCCUCUGAGCUGACUGAGUCACAUGCAGGCAGAUAGGAGUGCCCCAGUCGUCCAGGACCAGGCUCUGAAAAAUACAGUCACUUCCUUACAGCUUUCAUAGGGCAGAGCGCAGGCUGUGUGUCUGGGGUGUAGACGCAGGAAACGGGACGCCCCUUGCUUUCCUGACGCCACACUUGGGUUCAUGGUGUCUGGGGUGGAGGCACCACAGUCCAUCCUCAACCGGGACUUGGGACAACUUCACCAGAAGUCAAAGGAGAGGAGUUCCCGUGGUGGCUCAGUGGUUAAUGUCCAUGAGGAUUGGGUUCGAUCCCUGGUCUCACUCAGGGGGUUAAGGCUACGGCAUUGCUGUGAGCCGUGGCAUAGGUCGCAGAUGCAGCUCGGAUCCGGCGUUGCUCUGGCUGUGGUGUAGGCUGGCGGCUACAGCUCCGAUUUGACUCCUAGUCUGGGAACCUCCAUAUGCCUUCGGUGCGGCCCUAAAAAAAAAAAAAAAAAA